UGAAAGGAGAGGUGGAGGAGCUGAAAGGAGAGGUAGAGGAGCUGAAAGGAGAGGUGGAGGAGCUGAAAGGAGAGGUGGAGGAGCUGAAAGGAGAGGUGGAGGAGCUGCAGAAAGGUGGUGAACCAGAGAGUGGAGAUGAGUCACUAAGACUGAACUGGACUUCCACACACCCAGAAGUUACCUCUGGCCUUAUUACUUUGAUGUAGAAAGAAGCUGUUUGUUUCAUCAACACUUCAUUUGCAUUUUCUUUACAUGACAUUUUAGCACUAGAUGGCAGAUGGACAGCCAGUGAGAGCCAGGUGGAGGAGCUGAAGACAGAGAACAGAGGGAAAGUAAGACAGCUACAUGUCAUUUGAUUACUUUCAUCAACAAAGACAUGGUUUGUUGAAGUCAUCAACAGUUUAUUUGUAUUGUUACAUGAUAUCCUUGACUUGGGACCAGAGUGACAGUCAGGGGAGGAGCUGAAGACAGAGAAUGCAUGAAAGACAUGGAUAUUCAUAUACUUAUAAAGGGAUUUGAAGGCUUGUUUAUGUGAACUAUUUACAACAAGUUUUUGUGUUUUAUUCAAUAUCGGUCAGAAAGUCUAUAUUUUUUAUAUUGUUGCAGUUUUGGGGGGUAGAGUGACAGCCACAGAGAGAGGUGGAGGACCUGAAAACAGUAAAUUCAGAGACACCAAAGGUGGCAUUCUCUGCUGCUUUAGGUUGCUUCACAGCACCAGUGAGAGGACUCUACUUCUUCAGAUUCACAAGCCAUGGUGACAGCUCAUCAUCUUACGUGGGUGCAGCCUUGUACAGAAAUGACCAGAUAAUGAUUUAGGUGCAUCAGUAUAACUAUGGAUGGGAUCAGGAUGUAUCCAGUGCUGUAACUCUAGAGCUGGAGGAGGUGGAUUUGGUCUACCGCGCCUCUACUCUACUUACAGAUUACAUGAUGACUCAAAAAAACACAACAUCUUCAGUGGUCUUCCCUAUGUAAUGAUGCAAAAUGAUGCCUGGACAUGGGGUACUCUGAGCUCCGAUUGUUUCUGUAUACAAAAAAAUGAAGUAUUUUUGUCAUUUACUGUCAGUGUUGAAUUUCGUUUAGGAAAAGAUCUGCUCAUUUUAAAAAUUCUACACAUCUGAUGAAUGGUGUUGAGUAAGUGAGGGAAGAGGAUUUUGAGUUUGCACUUUUGAAGAAAGAGAGAAAGAAAUUUUUAAAAAGAAGGAAAGAGAGAGAGAGAGAGAGAGUUGGGGUGAGAGGGGGGAUGAGAGAGAGGAAGGAGGUAGAUUUGUAAGAGCUCAGCUGUGUCCUUCAGAUGUAACUCUGUCCCUCUGUGGGGAGCAGCUGCACCAUGGCACACACACAGGCCUGGGCUAGAUUCAAGAUUACAACGCUCUGCAAUGUUUCUAUUUUCUGUUUACCAUAAUACAGAGGAGGCUGCUGGGAGCAGCUAGAGGAGGACGGGUGCACUGGAAUGGCUGGAAUGGAAUAAAUGGAACGGAGUCAAACGUGUUGUUUCCAUAUGUUUGACAUGUUUGAUACCGUUCCAUUAAUACUGUACCAUUUCAGCCAUUACAAGGAGCCCUUCCUCCUAUAGCUCCCCCCACCAGCCUCCUCUGCCGUAAAGCUUAGUAACAUUUCGCUCUGUAGCACUAUGGUUUAACUUAGACAACCUUACGAAAACCACCACUGACAGAUGCUCAUUCAGUAAUAGCAUACAGUAGGCCUGUAUACAACACAAACACCAUAAUACACAGUUAUGUUGUGACUUUUGGCUAAUUAAUAUUCAAGAUAAUGUAUUGAUUAAUUACUGGAAUAAUUAAAUUAGCUGAUUUAUUUGGUUAAUCCUAUCCAAAUUAUUAUUAGAGGGGCACCAUUAAGGGUUGGAUGUAGAGAAACCCUUUAAUUAACUCUAUCAGUAGUAGUUGUUAAACGUUAUACCAUUAAUUGCUAUAUCAACAAUAUAAUCCAGUCAAUUUGACUAUAUUCUUAUUCUGAAUAGCCGAUAAACUCUGGCGCCUGGAAGACUUGCUGAUAAUCCCACGUAACACGUGAGUCAGGAAUGAUGAUUGGCUGAGAGUGUCAGUCUUUUCGUAACACGUGAGUCAGGAAUGGUGAUUGGCUGAGAGUGUCAGUCUUUUGACACUCAGAGUGGUAAAACGGGAAGAAAGAGUUUAGUUUUUACCUUGUGAUAGGGCGUAAACUACUCCGUGAAAGGAAGGUCUGACCCCCUUUCACCCCAUUUAAUGCAGGCAGAGGGAAUAUCUGUUCUCCAACACUUACCACUGAAGGGCCUUUGUCAAUAAAAACCUGUAAAUGUU